GAGUUUGAUCCUGGCUCAGGAUGAACGCUAGCUACAGGCUUAACACAUGCAAGUCGAGGGGCAGCAUGAACUUAGCUUGCUAAGUUUGAUGGCGACCGGCGCACGGGUGAGUAACACGUAUCCAACCUGCCGAUGACUCGGGGAUAGCCUUUCGAAAGAAAGAUUAAUACCCGAUGGCAUAGUUCUUCCGCAUGGUAGAACUAUUAAAGAAUUUCGGUCAUCGAUGGGGAUGCGUUCCAUUAGGUUGUUGGCGGGGUAACGGCCCACCAAGCCUUCGAUGGAUAGGGGUUCUGAGAGGAAGGUCCCCCACAUUGGAACUGAGACACGGUCCAAACUCCUACGGGAGGCAGCAGUGAGGAAUAUUGGUCAAUGGACGAGAGUCUGAACCAGCCAAGUAGCGUGAAGGAUGACUGCCCUAUGGGUUGUAAACUUCUUUUAUACGGGAAUAAAGUGAGGCACGCGUGCCUUUUUGUAUGUACCGUAUGAAUAAGGAUCGGCUAACUCCGUGCCAGCAGCCGCGGUAAUACGGAGGAUCCGAGCGUUAUCCGGAUUUAUUGGGUUUAAAGGGAGCGUAGGCGGACUAUUAAGUCAGCUGUGAAAGUUUGCGGCUCAACCGUAAAAUUGCAGUUGAUACUGGUCGUCUUGAGUGCAGUAGAGGUAGGCGGAAUUCGUGGUGUAGCGGUGAAAUGCUUAGAUAUCACGAAGAACUCCGAUUGCGAAGGCAGCUUACUGGACUGUAACUGACGCUGAUGCUCGAAAGUGUGGGUAUCAAACAGGAUUAGAUACCCUGGUAGUCCACACAGUAAACGAUGAAUACUCGCUGUUUGCGAUAUACAGUAAGCGGCCAAGCGAAAGCGUUAAGUAUUCCACCUGGGGAGUACGCCGGCAACGGUGAAACU
rnacentral:rRNA from 1 species